rnacentral:rRNA from 1 species
UUCCGUAGGUGAACCUGCGGAGGGAUCAUUACCGAGUUUACAACUCCCAAACCCCUGUGAACAUACCACUUGUUGCCUCGGCGGAUCAGCCCGCUCCCGGUAAAACGGGACGGCCCGCCAGAGGACCCCUAAACUCUGUUUCUAUAUGUAACUUCUGAGUAAAACCAUAAAUAAAUCAAAACUUUCAACAACGGAUCUCUUGGUUCUGGCAUCGAUGAAGAACGCAGCAAAAUGCGAUAAGUAAUGUGAAUUGCAGAAUUCAGUGAAUCAUCGAAUCUUUGAACGCACAUUGCGCCCGCCAGUAUUCUGGCGGGCAUGCCUGUUCGAGCGUCAUUUCAACCCUCAAGCACAGCUUGGUGUUGGGACUCGCGUUAAUUCGCGUUCCUCAAAUUGAUUGGCGGUCACGUCGAGCUUCCAUAGCGUAGUAGUAAAACCCUCGUUACUGGUAAUCGUCGCGGCCACGCCGUUAAACCCCAAGUUGAGAAUAUUACAUCCGGAGGUGUCCGGUUCGGCUCUC